rnacentral:rRNA from 1 species
CUACUCCUUACGGGAGGCAGCAGUGGGGAAUAUUGCACAAUGGGCGAAAGCCUGAUGCAGCGACGCCGCGUGAGGGAUGACGGCCUUCGGGUUGUAAACCUCUUUCAGUAGGGAAGAAGCCCUCUUUGGGGGUGACGGUACUUGCAGAAGAAGCGCCGGCUAACUACGUGCCAGCAGCCGCGGUAAUACGUAGGGCGCAAGCGUUAUCCGGAAUUAUUGGGCGUAAAGAGCUCGUAGGCGGUUUGUCGCGUCUGCUGUGAAAGACCGGGGCUCAACUCCGGUUCUGCAGUGGGUACGGGCAGACUAGAGUGCAGUAGGGGAGACUGGAAUUCCUGGUGUAGCGGUGAAAUGCGCAGAUAUCAGGAGGAACACCGAUGGCGAAGGCAGGUCUCUGGGCUGUAACUGACGCUGAGGAGCGAAAGCAUGGGGAGCGAACAGGAUUAGAUACCCUGGUAGUCCAUGCCGUAAACGUUGGGCACUAGGUGUGGGGGACAUUCCACGUUUUCCGCGCCGUAGCUAACGCAUUAAGUGCCCCGCCUGGGGAGUACGGCCGCAAGGCUAAAACUCAAAGGAAUUGACGGGGGCCCGCACAAGCGGCGGAGCAUGCGGAUUAAUUCGAUGCAACGCGAAGAACCUUACCAAGGCUUGACAUGGACCGGAAAGACCUGAAACAGGGCCCCCG